rnacentral:lncRNA from 1 species
UCAUAGCUCAGACAGUUGGGGGAGUUUAGAAAAGCAUCGCACCAGCUCGGAAAUUCGGCUGUCGGAGAAAUCCGGAAAAAAUGCCGUACUAAGUCGGAGGGAUCUCGGGAGAGUUGGCCUCUUAUGAACUUCGGCUGGGGGUAUUUUAUACCUAACAGGUCCCAUGAGUAAGGUGUGGUUGGAAGAGCCGAUGGUUAUGUAAGGAUGCUUCUUGGUUCUAUGUGCUUGAAUUAGUAUAUCCAAUUAGCUGGAAUCUUCUAUCUGGGUCAAACACCCUCUUCAGAAUCUUCCUGGGAUCUUGAACCAGCACACACUUCUGGAACACUUCAUUACUAAAAGUGUUUCUAAAGUAUUCCUUUCCUACACCUUCAGCCACUCUCUCACACUCCUGAUUGUCAUUGGCAACGGGUCCUCUAGUUAUUAUGCCAUGCCCUUUUCUUGGCACACCUUAGCUCAGAAUGUUCAACUGUUUGUAAUGUUUAAGUACUCUUGGGAGAUGAUCAAGCAA